GCCAGCCGAGUGCAACCGAUCGGCACCAAGAUUUUCUAAUCCCGGGCCCAAGUCAAUAUUGGCAACUCUGGGAAAAGGAGUUUGAAAACGUCGUUGUAUCUCUGAUUUUAUUAAAGUGUUUUGUAAACGAAAAUAGUGUUUGCUACAUAUUUCGAUUGUGGUAACUGCGAAGUAUUAAUUCAACAAUAUUUAAAGGUCAGCAGCCUUGCUUAAUAUGCAACAGCCACAGGGAAGCCUACCAAACAACCUGAGAUCUUUGUUGGAGUCGGGACUGGGUGCUGACGUCUUGGUGGUGGCUGCGGAUGGCCACCUGGCUGCCCACAGCUCGAUACUGGUGGCUCGCAGCCCAGUGUUCAGUGCGUUACUCCGCCGGAUGAAGCAGAUGGUCUCGAUCCGCGACAUGCCUGUGGAUGUGGUGCGGCAACUACUGACCUUCAUGUACACGGAUGAGGUGCCACAGCUGCAGAGUGUAGCACCCCAGCUGCUGGCACUUGCGGACAGAUUCGAGCUGCCAGUGCUGAAGGAGAAGUGCGAGCAACAUCUGAUUGAGAACUUACGUGUGGAGAACACGCCACUGUACUGCGUGCUCGCCCGGCGGCACUCAUGUCCGCUGCUCCAUAGUGCAGCCAUCGAUUACUUUGCGAGGCACGCUCAUCAAGUGGUGUGCUCACAGGGAUGGAUUGAGGAGCUGAGGAAGGACCCUAAGCUGCUGGCAGAGAUACCCCACCUAGUGGCCAACCACGCUGUUUCGAUAGCCAGUUCUAUGGAGGAAAUGAGGACGUGGAUGGGCUAUGGGAUUCAAGUGGACAAGGAGAAGAUUUCUGCUUGAGAGGAGGAAAUGUGACUUUGUAAAUAUGUCAACAGAAGCACAUGUGUUUUGUCAUGGUUUAUGUGAGUGUAGCCUAAACAAUUGUUGGCCCCACUAUUGAACAAACAAGGAUCUUGAUGUGUGUAUGAACUGCAGACAUUGCUGGCCAGUGGGAUUUGGAUGGAUGAAGAGAUGAUCUAUGCUUGAGGGAGAAAAUGGGACUUUGAAAAGAUGACAUCAGAAGCAGACAUGUGACAUGUUUUGUUAUGGUCUCUGUGAAUGUUCCUAAAUGAUUAUUGGUCCCAAUGCUGGAUGAACAAGACUCUUGACAGUAUGUAGAACUGCUGUGAUAAUCUCUUCCACUUACAUUACUUGCGUUGCAUGUGUAACUUUUUAGAGUCCAUGGGUUACUCCAAUAUAAUGGCAAAUAUUUGGU